CAAGCGUUUGUGACAUCAUAAAGCUGUGACGCUUAGCCGUGUAUAUUGUAAGCAUAACCAGAAGAGAAUCAAGCGGGAGGAUUCCACCAAAUAACGGAGUACAGUGCCCUGAAAAAGCUAGUGUUUAUUAAAAGGUCAAGACAAGACAUCAGUCGAUAUACCGCUGUUAGUGUCCAUCUGUUUAUUGUGAAGGAGAGGCUGCAUGGAUUUUUUAGGGAGGGCAUGUAACGUCCAAAAAGAGCACAUAAGGUCAUUAACUAGCUGGUAGAUGGAUCAAUAGAAGAUGCAAACGAUAUCAAGUCUGCAAGACAGGCUUUUUGUCGUCUGCGAACAGCCGGAAGUCGCCUGAUGGCUUCGCGUUGCGGCAUCUCGGAACAGCGCAGUAUGCCGGGCUAUUUAACCAGCAAUAUGGAUCUCAGAUAUGCACGUGUGGUAUUUUGUUAUUAUUUAAAUUUAUUUUGUUUAUAAUG